GGAAGGGCCUACCUUGGUCAGGGCAAAAUUUGCUGCAGACUGAGCGUUGAGGGGAGGGGAGGAAGUGCUGAGUGUCAGGGGAGGCCUGGCCCCUAACUCUACUCGACCUCCGGCCAGAUGCUCGCAGCGGAAGGGAUGGAGGGAGAAUGAAGGAGAAGGCAAUUGUUCUGUGCAAGCUUUAAGGGUCCAGACACUGCUCAGAUCCAGGAUCGUCAGCCCAGGAACCGUCCUCAUUUCAGAGUUUGGAGAGAUCCAAGGACCAGCGCCCGGGGUCCCUGGUUCUUCGUCCUCAAGGGUUCGUGAUUGCGCCCUAAGAUUCCAGGAGUCUGCGCGCGGGACCUGGAACUUUUCUGCCCAGCUCCUCGGCCCACCCGCUCCCCAAUAAACACACAAGUGCAGGGUCUGGCCA